rnacentral:rRNA from 1 species
GACGAACGCUGGCGGCGUGCUUAACACAUGCAAGUCGAGCGGUAAGGCCCUUUCGGGGGUACACGAGCGGCGAACGGGUGAGUAGCACGUGGGUGACCUCGCCCUUAGCUCUGGGGAUAAGCCUGGGAGACUGGGUCUAAUACCGGAUAUGACCUCAUGAUGCAUGUUGUAGGGGUGGAAAGCCUUGUGCGGCUGGAGAUGGGCCCGCGGCCUAUCAGCUUGGUUGGUGGGGAUGGCCUACCAAGGCGACGACGGGUAGCCGGCCU